AGAAAGAGAGAGAAAAGAAGAAGGAGAAAGGAGUGGAGGCCCGUUGAAAUUUCCUUCGCGCGGGCUAGAACAGAGCGAAUUUCCAUAAAGGAAGAGAAGACACGGUCCCGGAUCCUUCCAUGGACGCCUCACUCUCUCCAGGCCUCUCCACUUGCCCGAGAUCUCGGCUGGCCACCAGGAGACGGACACGGAAGGAGCUUGUGGGCUGCAGGGCUUCCCAGAGUCCAGCCACCUCAGCCCUCUUUGGGGGGAAUAUCGGUGCCAGACCCCUCUGCGCCCUGUCAUAUGUGACUGCGCUCACGUCAGGAUUAUCUUACAAAGAAGAAGAAGGAAAGCCGGGUGUUUAUAGCUAGUUCUGCUGAUCCGUUCACAUCUGGAGAGUUUAUUUAUAACUCCCACUAGAACUCUCUCUGUUUGGAAGCACUGGUGGCUCAAUUGACAGACUGAUGCCUAGAAAAUAUUGCUCUAUCUCUAACCAUACCUAAAUGUGCUGUGGUUGUAUUUACAGAUUUAUGCUCGAGGAAAAUAUAAUUAUUUCCAUUGUG